GCACAUCGUGCGCGGCGAGCACAAGAUAUGAGGUGGGAAAAGCGCCCCUUUGCUGCCUCGGAUUUCCUGAUUUUACCCCGAUUUUACCCCGAUUUCCACCUCUGAAAUUGUGCUCGGGUACACGAGAUGUGAGGUGGGAAAACUCCCCCUUUUCCUGCCUCAAAUUUCCUGAUUUUACCCCGAUUUUCACCUCUGAAAUUGUGCUCAGGAUACACAAAAUGUGAGGUGGGAAAAAUUCCCUUUCCUACCUCAAAUUUCCAGAUUUCAUCCCAAUUUUCCCCUCCAAAAAUGCAAAAUGUGAGGUGGAAAAAAUUCCCUUUCCUACCUCAAAUUUCCCGAUUUCAUCCCAAUUUUCCCCUCCCAAACACAAAAUGCGAGGUUGCAAAACUUCCCCACCUCAAUUUCCUCUUUUUUCCCUGAUUUUUUCCUCCCAUUUCCCCUCAAAUUUCCCCUUCUAUAUUGUGCACACCGAGCACAAAAUGUGAGGUUGGAAAAAUCCCUCCCCAAACCUCAAAUUCCCAUUUUUUUCCCCAAUUUUCCCCUCCAAAAUCCUGAGCAAAAUGUGAGAUUGGAAAAAAUUUUCCCUGCCUCAAAUUCCCAUUUUUUCCCCUCCAAAAUCCUGAACAAAAUGUGAGAUUGGAAAAAAUUUUCCCUGCCUCAAAUUCCCAUUUUUUUCCCCUCCAAAAUCCUGAGCAAAAU
rnacentral:lncRNA from 1 species